rnacentral:rRNA from 1 species
GACUAACGCUGGCGGCGUGCUUAACACAUGCAAGUCGAACGCUGAAGCUUGGUGCUUGCACUGGGUGGAUGAGUGGCGAACGGGUGAGUAAUACGUGAGUAACCUGCCCUUGACUCUGGGAUAAGCCUGGGAAACUGGGUCUAAUACUGGAUACGACAUGCCACUGCAUGGUGGUGUGUGGAAAGGGUUUUACUGGUUUUGGAUGGGCUCACGGCCUAUCAGCUUGUUGGUGGGGUAAUGGCCUACCAAGGCGACGACGGGUAGCCGGCCUGAGAGGGUGACCGGCCACACUGGGACUGAGACACGGCCCAGACUCCUACGGGAGGCAGCAGUGGGGAAUAUUGCACAAUGGGCGGAAGCCUGAUGCAGCGACGCCGCGUGAGGGAUGACGGCCUUCGGGUUGUAAACCUCUUUCAGCACGGAAGAAGCGAGAGUGACGGUACGUGCAGAAGAAGCGCCGGCUAACUACGUG